rnacentral:rRNA from 1 species
GUAGUCUCGCACAGAUGCAUAUCAAUAAGCGGAGGAAAAGAAACUAACAAGGAUUCCCUCAGUAACGGCGAGUGAAGCGGGAAGAGCUCAAAUUUGAAAUCUUGAAAGGUCACCUUUCACGAAUUGUAGUUUAAAGAAGUGUUUUCUGUUACGAUCGUAAUAUAAGUUCUUUGGAAUAGGACAUCACAGAGGGUGAGAAUCCCGUCUAUGAUUGCGAUUUGUAGCUUUGUGAUACAGCUUUCAAAGAGUCGGGUUGUUUGGGAAUGCAGCCCAAAACGGGAGGUAAAUUUCUUCUAAGGCUAAAUAUUGGCGAGAGACCGAUAGCGAACAAGUACCGUGAGGGAAAGAUGAAAAGAACUUUGAAAAGAGAGUUAAAUAGUACGUGAAAUUGUCAAAAGGGAAGCGUUUAACACCAGUGUUGUUUUCUGAAAAUCAACCUCUGUUAGCUUUAUGCAUGUUUGUUUAGACCUAAUCAGGCUAUCUCUCAUGUUCUAUUGUUUGCAGUGGUGCACUUUUCAGUUUACAGGUCAACAUCAGUUUUUUUUACCGUAAAAAAGUUAAAGAAAGGUAGCUCAUGGCUCCGGUCGUGAGUGUUAUAGUCUUUUUCCUAUGCGGUAGGAGAGACUGAGGUCUGCAGUGUAGGCUAUUUGGCUAGAUACUCAGGUGCUAUGUGAUACCAUUUCAUAAACAACUUGUUGAUUAUGUUUUGUCUAUUGCAUACUCGCUUGUACUAUCAUACCUACGCUUAGGAUGUUGAGUCGUAGAGCACGCAG